GUGGGGAAUAUUGGACAAUGGGCGAAAGCCUGAUCCAGCCAUGCCGCGUGUGUGAAGAAGGUCUUCGGAUUGUAAAGCACUUUAAGUUGGGAGGAAGGGUAGUAACCUAAUACGUUGCUACUUUGACGUUACCGACAGAAUAAGCACCGGCUAACUUCGUGCCAGCAGCCGCGGUAAUACGAAGGGUGCAAGCGUUAAUCGGAAUUACUGGGCGUAAAGCGCGCAUAGGUGGUUCAGUAAGUUGGAAGUGAAAUCCCCGGGCUCAACCUGGGAACUGCUUUCAAAACUGCUGAGCUAGAGUACGGUAGAGGGUAGUGGAAUUUCCUGUGUAGCGGUGAAAUGCGUAGAUAUAGGAAGGAACACCAGUGGCGAAGGCGACUACCUGGACUGAUACUGACACUGAGGUGCGAAAGCGUGGGGAGCAAACAGGAUUAGAAACCCGAGUAGUCC
rnacentral:rRNA from 1 species